rnacentral:rRNA from 1 species
GCUGAAGACUUUAGCUUGCUAAAGUUGGAAGAGUUGCGAACGGGUGAGUAACGCGUAGGUAACCUGCCUACUAGCGGGGGAUAACUAUUGGAAACGAUAGCUAAUACCGCAUAACAGCUUUUAACUCAUGUUAGGAGCUUGAAAGGUGCAAUUGCAUCACUAGUAGAUGGACCUGCGUUGUAUUAGCUAGUUGGUGAGGUAACGGCUCACCAAGGCGACGAUACAUAGCCGACCUGAGAGGGUGAUCGGCCACACUGGGACUGAGACACGGCCCAGACUCCUACGGGAGGCAGCAGUAGGGAAUCUUCGGCAAUGGGGGCAACCCUGACCGAGCAACGCCGCGUGAGUGAAGAAGGUUUUCGGAUCGUAAAGCUCUGUUGUAAGAGAAGAACGUGUGUGAGAGUGGAAAGUUCACACAGUGACGGUAACUUACCAGAAAGGGACGGCUAACUACGUGCCAGCAGCCGCGGUA